AAGUUGUUGCGGUUAAAAGCUCGUAGUUCGAGCUCAGUUCCGGACUGGCCGGGGAGGUCACCGCCCGGUGCUUCCCCGUCAGGCUCCGAACAGCCUUCGUGAGCGGAGGCCAAGCCGGUUCUGCCGGGGUGCUCUUUACCGAGUGUCCCGCGCUGCCGGCCAGUUCACCUUGAAUAAAUGAGAGUGCUCAAAGCAGGCUCAUUAUAAAUACAAUGCCCGAAUGUUACCUGCAUGGAAUGAUGGAAGAUGAUCUCGGUUCCAUUUUAUUGGUGGUGGGAGCCCGAGGUAAUGAUAAACAGGGACUGUCGGGGGCAUCCGUACUACGACGCGAGAGGUGAAAUUCAGUGACCGUCGUAGGACGAACAACAGCGAAAGCAUUUGCCAAGAAUGUCUUCGUUGAUCAAGAACGAAAGUUAGAGGAUCGAAGGCGAUCAGAUACCGCCCUAGUUCUAACCCUAAACGAUGCUGACUAGCAAUUCGCCGUCGUUAUUCCCAUGACGUGGCGAGACGCCCCCGGGAAACCUUAAGUCUUUGAGUUCCGGGGGUAGUAUGGUUGCAAAACUGAAACUUAAAGGAAUUGACGGAAGGGCACCACCAGGAGUGGAGCCUGCGGCUUAAUUUGACUCAACACGGGAAACCUCACCAGGCCCGGACACCAGAAGGAUUGACAGAUUAAGAGCUCUUUCUCGAUUUGGUGGGUGGUGGUGCAUGGCCGUUCUUAGUUGGUGGAGUGAUUUGUCUGGUUAAUUCCGGUAACGAACGAGACUCUGGCCUACUAAAUAGUCGACGGGCGUUUUGGUGCAUGGGCCCCGUUCGACACAGUCUUCUUAGAGGGAUGAGCAGCGAGUAUAGCUGCAGGAGAUUGAGCAAUAACAGGUCUGUGAUGCCCUUAGAUGUCCUGGGCCGCACGCGCGCUACACUGAAUGGGUUAGCGGGUUGUCCUUCUCCGAGAGGAGCGGGAAAUCGCUUGAAAACCAUUCGUGAUAGGGAUUGGGGCUUGCAAUUGUUUCCCAUGAACGAGGAAUUCCCAGUAAGCACAAGUCAUCAGCUUGUGUUGAUUAAGUCCCUGCCCUUUGUACACACCGCCCGUCGCUACUACCGAUUGAAUGAUUUAGUGAGGCCUUCGGACUGGCGGUCUUGGACUGGGGCGCCGGCGUUCUCCAGCAAUGGGGUGCCGGUGACCCGCCUAGACGGGCCGGAAAGAUGUCCAAACUUGAUCAUUUAGAGGAAGUAAAAGUCGUAACAAGGUUUCCGUAGGUGAA
rnacentral:rRNA from 1 species